CGGCCCCGCCGCUCCCCGCGCAGCGCCGCCGCGGCCAUCGCGCGGCCGGGAGGGAGGGAAAAGGGAAAGAAAAAAAAAAAAAAAGAAAGGUGUUUUCGGCUGUUUGAGCUCCGGGAGCCGCCGUGCCCCGCGGCUGCAGGCACCUGCCCGGGGAGCGGCCCGGCGCCGGGGAGAAGCCGUCCCGGCACUGCGGGAGGCGAUGCUUCGCGGCAGCUUUUCGACUUUCUGCCGUUCGUGAUGGAUUCGAAAGUGCCAUUUUGAGGGGGAAUGGGCACCGAGAAGACGCGAGGGAUUCUCUCUUCCUGCAAAAGGGCCGCGGGGCAGCGGUGGCACGGUGUGGAGAUGGCGGUGCCCUUCUGACAGCAGCACUCCGUGCCCUACGCUGCUCUCGUUGCUUUACGUUUCAGGAACCCUCGGGAGGAUGAAUUCUGCCCAAAUGAGCCCUGUGGGAGGUAAGGAGCAACGCCGUGGCUGCCUAUGACUGAGUCUGUCCACGCCCCGCCCGCCUGUUCUCACCGCGGAGACGCUGGCUGGAACGUCCCCACCCGGAGGGCAGCCCGGAGACGUUUGGCCCCGGGGAGCUGCCGGGCGCACGGCCCUCACCGCGGCACCCAGGCGGGAACGGCCAGCACCGAGGGCCUGGGUCGCAGCCCUCGCCUCCAAAAGGAGACCGAGUCGGCCCCGCGGUAGCAGGAGGGCACACAGGGAUCACCGCACAAGGGGCUGCCUCUCCCUUACGCCCCGGCUGCGUGCAGCUUCGUAGUUUUACUGCAGAGAUCCCCCAACCGCCCUUCGUUCGUGAGUACAGAAAGGUGAACGGCAGUGAGCUGAGCGCGCAUGAAGCAGGGAAACGCUGUGCUCGGGCUGUCAGCUGUCCCCAGCCACGAAACGAGGGGACAAAAAAGCAUAUUUAAGGGCCCUAUUACGGCAAUUCUCUGUCAGAAGCAAUUGUGCAGGCAGUAUUGUAAACAGAAGUAUGAAUUAUAAUUUUCCCCAGAGAUAACUCUAGAGUUAUAUGUGUAUGUAUAUGACACCCAUAUGUUCAAAUCCAGUUGUUUUUCUGCAUGAAAAUGAAAUGAUAUGAAACACUUCGAAUUCUCUGUCAGGCGGCUUAAAUAAGACCAAUUUCGUGACUAAUCAGUGCCCCAGAUCUCCGGGUUUGGUGGUGUUCCCUGUGCAGAUGUACUGCAGAUCCGGACUCAGGGGCCUUACAGCAGUCCCCCACUACUUGUUUUGUUUUACAGUUACAAAGUAAGCCCCUGUCUUCUGUUAAGCACAUCACAUAGCGCAAAUAAUUAAGUGAACUACGGUGGGGAUGCUACAGGCCUCCUGCGAGUAACACUGCCCGACCAGAACAAGCAGGCAGACCUCCCCUGCUGCCAAAAAUCAAUCCAGAUAAAAGUGUCCUCAUCACAAUCGUUUCCUUUCGACUGUGGUAAUGAUACCGUAAAAUAAAAGGAACUGCCCCCAUCGGCACAAAAAUCCGCAGCAAAAACCCCUCCUGGAGGGAGUUGCUGGCAGCGGGCUGCAGGGACAGACCCGGCCGUGCCCCCAGCCCUGCAGCCGUGCAGCACUGCCCGGGGACACCUCGGAGCGGACUGCGGAGCUGCGGGAACAGAAACCUUCGCUGUGACUCUCACCUGAGCUUCCCGAGCUGGGGCACGUCGGGUGCUCACCUCUCCAGGAUUCUGGAUCAAAUCCUUCCCGUGUUGAUCCAGUGAAGAUAUCUUUAUUCAAAAUAAUCCUGUGAUAGACGUGAACACGGCGUAACUUAUCUUGACAGCGCACCUAUAACACAAAUUGGUGCCAGGAAUGAAGUGGCUCCGGUCCAAUUUCCAAAACUUGCCUUUCAGACCUUGUUACAGUUACUCUCUAGUAAUGCGUGGGUGGAUUUGUUUGUAGCUCAGCCCGGGCCGCCACGGGCACUGCACCAUUCCUGGUACCGACGGCAGCGCUGCACGCAGCAGGUGUGAGGGCAGUGCUGGCCGGAUCGCUACGUGCGGUGCGCGGGACGCCAGCGGUUAAGCGGGGUAACAAGAAACCCCUUGGGAAGCUCCGCCAGCAUAAACUAAAGCAGUUCUGCAGCCACCGAGGGGCACCGCUCGCGUCCUGAAGGUGCCGGUGCCCGGCAGCGCUCCCGGAGCGGCUCCGAGCUGCUCGUGGGCGGACGGACAGCGCUGGAGCUACGGACACAGCCCUCCCCUCCGGCUGCGCGGGGUCCCCUCGCUCUCCCCCACAGGAGACGGAUUCCGCCGGGACCCGCGGCCGUGCUCCCUCCCCGCGACUCGCUCUGCUAUUUGCCAUCGUGGAGGAUCUGAAAAGUCGCGGGUAGCAGCUCUCGCCCACGCGAAUAGAAAAACAAUAAAGAAUUCUCAUUCCUAAA